rnacentral:tRNA from 1 species
UUUUCGGCAUUAGCUAUUCCUGAAAUAUCAAAUGAAACUGAAGAGCUUCUUGGAGAUGUUU